UACUCCAGCGGGCUCCCACUCAUCCUGCAUCCAACAGAUAUGUGUCCUGGCGACUAUGGGAAAUCAAAGAUGCGUGUCUCCACCAGCUGGCAGAAGGGAGUCUUCUACUACAGAACCUUUUACUCUUUGGCGUCUGAACAGGCAUUUUGAGCCUGGAGGUGCUCUGCAAUAGCAGCCUUUCUUUGGAUCAGUGGAUCA